UACGUAGGGGGCUAGCGUUGUCCGGAAUCAUUGGGCGUAAAGCGCGUGUAGGCGGCCCGGUAAGUCCGCUGUGAAAGUCCAGGGCUCAACCCUGGGAUGCCGGUGGAUACUGUCGGGCUCGAGUCCGGAAGAGGCGAGUGGAAUUCCUGGUGUAGCGGUGAAAUGCGCAGAUAUCAGGAGGAACACCAAUUGCGAAGGCAGCUCGCUGGGACGUUACUGACGCUGAGACGCGAAAGCGUGGGGAGCGAACAGG
rnacentral:rRNA from 1 species